rnacentral:rRNA from 1 species
UGCAUAUCAAUAAGCGGAGGAAAAGAAACCAACAGGGAUUGCCCUAGUAACGGCGAGUGAACAGGCAAGAGCUCAGAUUUGAAAGGCACUUUUGUGCCGUUGUAUUCUGAAGUUAGGGUCCUGAGAAACGAUGCUUAAGUCUUCUGGAAAGGAGCGCCAUGGAGGGUGAUAGCCCCGUCUAGCAUUGACCUCAUAUAGGAUCUUAACAUGGAGUCGAGUUGUUUGGGAAUGCAGCUCAAAUGGGUGGUAUGCUCCAUCUAAAGCUAAAUAUCUGCGAGAGACCGAUAGUAAACAAGUACUGUGAGGGAAAGAUGAAAAGAACUUUGAAAAGAGAGUGAAAAAGUACGUGAAAUUGUUGAAAUGGAAGGGUAGGCCGCUAACCAUGUAGAGCCGUGUUUGGGGGGAAGAUAAAUGCUGUAGAAUGUAGCUCCUCGGAGUAUUAUAGAUGCAGUUCAUAUUCCCACCCGAGCGCGAGGAUCUCAGGUUCUACUAAAUGGUGGUCUACCACCCGUCUUGAAACACGGACCA